AUUGAACGCUGGCGGCAUGCCUUACACAUGCAAGCCGAACGGUAACGCGGGGCAACCUGGCGACGAGUGGCGAACGGGUGAGUAAUGUAUCGGAACGUGCCCAGUUGUGGGGGAUAACUGCUCGAAAGAGCAGCUAAUACCGCAUACGACCUGAGGGUGAAAGCGGGGGAUCGCAAGACCUCGCGCAAUUGGAGCGGCCGAUAUCAGAUUAGGUAGUUGGUGGUGUAAAGGCUCACCAAGCCAACGAUCUGUAGCUGGUCUGAGAGGACGACCAGCCACACUGGGACUGAGCAACGGCCCAGACUCCUACGGGAGGCAGCAGUGGGGAAUUUUGGACAAUGGACGCAAGUCUGAUCCAGCCAGGCCGCGUGCGGGAAGAAGGCCUUAGGGUUGUAAACCGCUUUUGUCAGGGAAGAAACGCUCUGGGUUAAUACCUCAGGGUAAUGACGGUACCUGAAGAAUAAGCACCGGCUAACUACGUGCCAGCCGCCGCAUAAUAC
rnacentral:rRNA from 1 species